rnacentral:rRNA from 1 species
CAGCAGUCGCCACGGUAAUACGGAGGGUGCAAGCGUUAAUCGGAAUUACUGGGCGUAAAGCGCACGCAGGCGGUCUGACAAGUCAGAUGUGAAAUCCCCGGGCUUAACCUGGGAACUGCAUUUGAAACUGUCAGGCUGGAGUCUUGUAGAGGGGGGUGGAAUUCCAGGUGUAGCGGUGAAAUGCGUAGAGAUCUGGAGGAAUACCGGUGGCGAAGGCGGCCCCCUGGACAAAGACUGACGCUCAGGUGCGAAAGCGUGGGGAGCAAACAGGAUUAGAUACCCGCGUAGUCCCUGUCUCUUAUAC